AUGGUAUGUGUACAACCCCAACACCGAGGACAAGAGCAAGCUGGUCGAGAACGUGAACUACGCCUGCACCUUUGCCGACUGCACCGCGCUCGGCCUCGGCUCCACCUGCUACGGCAUGGACGUCAAUGGCAACGCCUCCUACGCCUUCAACAUGUACUUCCAGGUGCAGAACCAGAAGGACGAGGCCUGCGACUUCCAGGCGCUCGCCGUGCCCACGCAGACCGUCCUCGUCCUCGUCCAGGAGACCGACCCCUCCACUUCCAGGAGCUCAACCUCUCCGACAAUGCGCUCGCGGGCUGGCUCCCCGCCGCGCUCCUCAGGGCGCCCGGGCUCGCCGUGCUGGGCCUCACCAACAACUACCACGCCGGCGAGCUUCCCGCCAUGGGGCACGAAGACGAGGUGUUUGUUGAAAUGCCUAAGAGAGAUAUAGGAGGAGCAAGAAGAUAG
rnacentral:rRNA from 1 species